UUAUAUACAGUGCAGUAUCCGCUGUUUAUUCUGAUUCUGUUAACGUUCUUAUAUACGUUCAUUCAUUCAUUCGGUAUCUAAACCGUAUCGGUGGUAAAUAGUAUAAGGUCAAAGGUGUACGCAAACGUAAAAAUAUGUGUAAAAAAACAAAAAGCCAAUUUCGAUCUGAACAAGAGUGUACCAAUAUAUCACAAUAUAGCCAGCACAGUCGUCACUCGUCUUUUAUGUAAGGCAACAGUAAGUUGAAUGCAUCCACUAUAAAAACGUAGUAUAAAUAUAUAUUACAAGACAGUGAUGAGUAGGAGUCUACUUGGGUAGCAUACUAAAUAUGAGUGAAAAAGUUACAAAAUAUUCUAAGCCUGUUGCACAGAGAAAAUUGACUGUAGAGCGUGCUGCAUCACUUAAGCUUCGUCCAUUAUUGCCAAAGAAAAGAGUUCUAUAUUCAGGCAAAAAUGAUUGUAUCAUUAUAGAUGAUGAUGAUGAUGAUAAUGAUAUUCAGUGUUUAGGUUCUUAUAAAACUUCACCAGAAAUUUCCAAAAAAUUUCGACAUAGUGUUAAAGAUGAUGAUGUUAUUAUUUUAAAUGGAGAACCUAAUAGAUUAAAAACUAAACUGGAUGUUUGUAAACCUGUUGGUAUCGCCAAUUCAACUGAAAAGCAUUCAAACCCUAUUGAAUCAGCUAAUCCAAACAUGAAUACCUACAUACCACUUCAUGAUUUCACUGUCUCUGAUCCCAAUGUCUGUACUUUGGCGCAACCUUUUAAUUCUGGCAUUCCUACACCACCAUCAAGUGGUCUUAUUGCUCCACAGAGUCAAGGAUUUGCUACUCUAUCUUUAACAGACAGGUCAAAUGUUAUAGUAUCUGGACCACCUCAUAAUUUUCCAGUAGCAUCUUUGCCACAAGACCCAAAUGUUCCCACAUUCAUACAGAUUCAAGACUUUCCUAUGCUAAAUUCUUCAGAUAUAGUAAUUACUCAAGCUCCUGCACUGACACCCGAGUGUAUGACAUUGCCAAAUGGAGUGUUGCAAAAUGGAACUGUAUUAUCUAACAACUCGAAUGCACGAGUACCUGCCAGAAGAGCAGAAUCUGUGGCAAGAAUAAAUAAUGUUCCCUCAUAUGUUGAAGAGCAACAAGCACUCCUCACCUUCAGACCCAAUUUAAAACAUGAAUUAAGGCGUGUUGACAUUCCAGUCAAUAAGGGAAUUGCUUUUGGAUCUACUGAAAACAAUGAAGGUCAAAUGUUAGCAGCCACAAUGAAUUCAACGACAGAUGAAGUUAUAGAACAAAUAAAAGAACGACCAGCAAAUAAAAGAGCUCAUUCUAAGCAUAAAAAUGAUUAUAAAUACAUACAAGUAAUCACAGACACAGAUACCAUUCUUCAUGAAAUUAAAAUCAAACCAAAUAAAAGAAAGAAGAAAAAUGUUCCAAAGAAAGUUGUUGAUGAUGACAGAAAUGUUCAUUCAAAACAAAUUGAGAACAGAAAUGAGAAACAAGUUGUAGAAAAACCUGGUCAGUUCAGCAUAAAAGACUUGGAAGAGUUCGAAAAUCUCAAAAGUAUGCCAAAUGCUGUACCACAAGAAAUUAGUGAUGAAAUCAUGCCAUGUGAUUUACAAAAAACUUUUAAUCGAGGAACCCAAACAUCGAUUCAUUGCUGGCUCUUCAAGAACGACAAUCUUUACAGUUUGGAUGAUAAUGUGGGUAGUGAGUGUAACAUAAGACUUGAACCUGUUGGGAAGUUAAGGAUGGAUAAAAAUCCUGGAAAAAAUAAAAAUCAAUCAAAAAGUAAAGGAGCAUUAAACAAGGAAGUUCCUGACAGUUCAGUGGCUGGCAGUUGUGAACCCAAUACAUCUGAUUUACCAACAAUGCCUACCUGUGAAGUAGAUCAUUCAGUUUCUCAAAGUGAAAAAAAUACUGAAAUUCAUCACAACUCACCACCUCUUGUUGAAGUGGACCCGCCUACAGUUACUGAAAUUGAUCAUACCUCACCACCUCUUGCUGAAGUGGACCAGCCUAGAGUUACUGAAGUUGAUCAUACCUCACCACCUCUUGCUGAAGUGGACCAGCCUAGAGUUGAAGACGACCCAGCACAUGGUGUGUUUGAGAGUGGAAGUGCCUUCACAGAGAACACGUACUUGACCCUAGGACUGCCAGUGCCUACCCAGCAGAGAGGUGUGCGCUAUGAGGUGGAUCAUAUUGUCCCACAAAACACUGAAACAGCUAGGUCAAUGAUGAGUGAGACAAAUGGUCCUUCAUUUACUGCACCUCCUGGAGAUCAAACGGAUCCUCCUAAUAUGUUCCCUAGAUCUGCUGCAACUGCAACUGUGGCCAAUCUCCCAGCCCCCUAUAUCAACCUUUUCAACAAAAUUUGCGAAGACAUCAGAAACGCUCUCAAGUUUGACAAGGACUGCAACAUACCUCUGCAUGAUGCAGUUAUAGACUGUGACUUAAAAAGGGUGAAGAGUCAGUGUAUUCUGCUGAAGGGGAUGAAGUCUAACCUCAACCACCGCAAUGUGCACGGCGAUACACCAUUGAUGCUAGCAGUGAAGCUAGCUGUGGACCUCGGUGGGGCGGAGAGGUGGAAAGUGGUCCAAAUGUUGUUGAAGGAGGGGGCGGAUCAGACUGUGGCAGACCGUGAGGAGUACACACCCCUCCACUAUGCUGUCCAAUACGGCUCCACCAAUCUAGUCCGCACUCUGCUUGGUGACGAUGGUUCUCAUAAAGUUAUAGACAAGUUUUGUCGUAAUGGUCUGGCUCCUCUCCACUUGGCAGCCAUCGGUGGUCAUGAUGACAUUAUUGAAAUGCUCAUAGAUGCAAAGGCUGAUUUCAACUGUAAGGAUAUGAAGAGUGGGCGGACACCAUAUUUCUUUGCUCUAGAGAAAGAAAACACAAGUUCUGCCAAAAUUUUUGUCAAGUUCAAAGCAAAAGUGAAUGAGCCAAAUUUUGCAGGCCAGUAUCCACCAACUAAAACUUUGAAAGUCAACCAAGGAGAUGAUUGUAAAGUAGAUAACAAAUCUUUAAAAAACUCAGCUAGCUCGAAAGCACCUUUUAACAUUGCAGAAACUACUUCAAUUGAAAUUGAAGAGGAGAUGAUUGAAGAUCCUAUGGUGGUAGAAGAGGAUGGAAUAUCAGGAAGUUCUUUCACGGAUCUCGGAGCUCCAGUAGCUAAAUCUAAGGAACAGAAUUGUGACAUUUCUAAUCUAAAUAGGAUAAAUGAAGUCGAAACUGCAUUGUGUCGAAAAUCACUAGAUUUAUCCGAACGUACUGCUUCAGGACCAAACUAUGAACACAUCUGUCCUUCAGAAAUUACAAAUAUUCAACCUUCACCAGAUACCAUCUCCAUAGAGAAUCAGAUGUCACAUAACCCAUCUCUCUGUCCUUUGAGUACAUCAGACAGUCCAAUUCUACCUCUAAAUUAUGAUCCACAAGAGCAACAUCAAUGUCAUAAUAAUUCAUCGUUAAGAGCUGCAUUGGAAAUGAAUGACUCUAAUCAUGUAGGAGUAACAAAGGAAAAACAAAAAGAUAUUACAGAAAUAUUGAAAAAUUCUCUCAAUAUUCCCUCAAAAGGAGAUAAGAAGAGUAAAAGUAAUGAAAUAAAAAAAACUCGUAACCAUCCAUUAUCUAGGAUUUUUUCACAAACAUUGGACAUUGAUAAAUCUUUUAAUAGUUGUGAAAAUGCCAUAAACAACUCUUCUAGCAAUUUAAAACCUCAAGACAUAAUUCAGCCAACUCAACCUCAUCAAAUUAAGAAAACUCUUGGAAAUAUUUCUCACAGUUCCGACCCCCAGUACAAUGGUGCUAAGUCUGUAUCAUCAAAUGAAAAUACUCAAAAAAUAAUUCAACUUAAUGUUUCUGAAUGUGCAGGAACUAAACAAACCCCCAUUAUUCAAUCUAGUCAAAUCAUGAAAUCUCAUCAAAAUUCUAAUCUCAAUUUGAAUAAAGAAUUAAAUAAUUCCAGGUCUUUAUUAUCAGAUGCAGAAACUCAAAAAUUAGUUCCGUCAAGUACUUCUAAAUGUGAAGAAAUUAAACAAUCCUCCUGUAACCAACCUGGCGAAAAUAUGGAAUCUCAUGGAAAUUCUUGUUUCACCUUUCAGGAUCAUUCUAAUGAUGCUGAAUUUGUGUUAUCGGAUGAUGAUGAUAGCGAUGAGGAUACUUCCCCAUCAGACUAUACAACUGCCAAACCAACAGCUGAAGUUGCAGAACAUUGCAAUAAAAGAACCAAAUCAAACAAUAGUACAGAAAGACUAGAUCUAGAGAAACUCACUUCUAACAGAGAUGGUUUGCAUUUGGCUCGAAUUGAUCAUAACAAACAAGGAAGUAAAAGUGCUGAACUGAAUGUAAAUGAGGAAAUAGAAGAACAUGUGGAAUCAAGGAAAACCAAUUUAGAAGUAAAAAAUAAACCACAAAGGAAGAGUAAAAGGAAAAUUUCAGAAGAACAACUUGAUGACAGUUUGAGUACAGAUAGAAGGAAAUCUUUAAGGAAAAGUAAUGCACCAGAUUCUUUAGGCAAGAAAAAUGAUGAUGAAAAAUCCAACCAAAGAACAAAACAAGCCAAAAUGAGCAAAACACUACCAGAUUCAAAAUCUAUUCCAUCUAAUAUAAGAAGUAGAAGAAGCCAAGAUAAUGUAAAAGAAAAACAGGAAGAAGUAUUGGACUCAACUAAAAGAACAAGAAAUCAAGAAAUAGCACAAAACAAAGCCUGUCAGUACAGAAGAAUAGAACAAGCCAGAUGGACAAUCCAUGAGGCAUUGAAAUGGCAAUAAGUUUCAAUACCGACACCUAGCGACAGAAGUUUAUUCUGCACAAGCCCCACUCACAGCAGAACUAUUCCAGGAACUUUUGGGUAAAGCUUGCAAAACAGCAAAAGUAGGGCUGGUGUCGCAGACUUUUCUGACCAGCAGAUUCUAGAUGAAGCAUUCAUUUUCAAAAGGCUCAAAGUUCACUAUAAAAAGUAAGAUUUUGAUGAAGAUCUGACCUGAAACACUAGUUUUAAAGCUGAUUUUAUUUUUAUUUCUGAAGAAGAAUCUCCGGAUGGGGGCUCUUCAAAACCCAAGAAUAUUUUUGAAGCUUAACCUCUGCAUCUGCAACUGGUUGAUGUUCCAAAACACAAUAUAUGCUGGAUUGAUUUUAUGUGUACUGUAAUACAAUAUCAGCCCCCAUUUCAAGACAUACCCAAUUCUUGUAGCUGUUAUUCUCAUAAAAACAUUCACUUCAUUUACAUAAAAUAACAACCAACAUUUAAUGUUAUUCACAGACUGUUAGAACACACGCAAGCCGAUCAAAAGUUGGUAUAACACAGGCACUAUUCAUUGACCAAGUAAAUAUAAAUAUGAACAUUGCCUGUAUUGGGUUGAAUAAGCCUUUGCUGGACUCUCUUUUCGUACAAAGAAUCUGUGGGCAAAAUAACAUUUUGAUAUUACAUGUUUUCUUUUCUGGUUGAUCUUCAAAAAUGGAAUAGUUAAUUUCUUAAGUAGUAGUUGUCAAUGUGUUGUAGCAUGGAUGAAAAUAGUUCUAGAUAAAAGUUGUAUUUUGGGAUACUUGCAGACUAUUUAUGCUGUUAAGUAAGUAAUACCUGUAUUUACUAUAUAUUUUAAUAAUAUAACCAGCAGUAGUAUCCAAUAUUACCUGGGUGUGUGUGUGUUUUUUCAGAAAUUAAUAUUUUAGUAGCCUUAUGCAAAAUGGACAGAACUACUUGUAAAUUAAUACUAUAUGUCAUGCCUUAUUAUGAAUUAAAUAUAAUACGUAAAAUUAAUACAUAAACAGUGUUAGUAUUGUUUUUCAUAAAAAUUUUGUAUUUUAUAAAAAAUUAAUUAUAUGUUCUCUCCUGCUACCUACUGUAUUUAUAUAUGUAUGUUAAUGCAAUGAUUGUUUAACUUGCAUAGUUAAUUUAUUUUCUUUUACAACAUUAAGCUAUACACUAAUUUGUACAUAUAAUAUUACAAUUCUACUAGUUUUGUGACUAUGUAAUACUGUUAGCAGUGUCAGAAAGUUGUUUAACUUGCACAGUAUUACCACCAUGGUCAGUGAUUUAUUAAUUGUUACAAUGAAACAUAAUUUUAUGUAAACUACUUGUACAAAAUAAAACCUUUAUUACAUUUCAUUUGUAUGUUUCGUUUUAGAAACAGUUUAUUGUUGUGAAAUAAAAUAAAAAUUGUUACCUGAAAUUAAAUGAAUAUAAAGAAAAUAUAGUCUUUACUUUUUUCAA